GGAAAUUUAUUUUCAGUGUCGCAGGGAAACCGAUAAACACACCGCCUGGGGAGUACGACCGCAAGGUUAAAACUCAAAUGAAUUGACGGGGACCCGCACAAGUAGUGGAGCAUGUGGUUUAAUUCGAAGAUACGCGCAGAACCUUACCAACACUUGACAUGUUCGUCGCGACUCUAAGAGAUUAGAGUUUUCGGUUCGGCCGGACGAAACACAGGUGCUGCAUGGCUGUCGUCAGCUCGUGUCGUGAGAUGUUGGGUUAAGUCCCGCAACGAGCGCAACCCUCACUUUUAGUUGCCAUCAUUAAGUUGGGCACUCUGAAAGAACUGCCAGUGAUAAGCUGGAGGAAGGUGGGGAUGACGUCAAGUCCUCAUGGCCCUUACGUGUUGGGCUACACACGUGCUACAAUGGUAUCUACAACAGGAAGCAAGACUGCGAAGUUAAGCAAAUCCCUAAAAGAUACCUCAGUUCGGAUUGCACUCUGCAACUCGAGUGCAUGAAGCUGGAAUUACUAGUAAUCGUGGAUCAGCGUGCCACGGUGAAUGCGUUCCCGGGUCUUGUACACACCGCCCGUCACACCAUGGGAGUUGGUUCUACCUUAAGGCAAGGUUUCAAACCCUUGACCACGGUAUAGUCAGCGACUGGGGUGAAGUCGUAACAAGGUAGCCGUAGGGGAACCUGCGGCUGGAUUACCUCCUUU
rnacentral:rRNA from 1 species